GAAGAGCCGAGCUACCAGCCUACCAACAGUUACUUAUUAUUAUUCUCCCCAAGCACUAAUCCAAUCCAGAGAUCAACACAAAAGAACAAUAACAAGAGGAAGAAAAAUCUGGACAAGGCCUAAAGAGCUACAGCAGCAGCAAGCAGACAGGAAACAGGUGAGACGACUUACAUUACAGGCAGCCUUGUUUUGGUCAGGUAAAUUUCUUUUGUUCAUUUCUUGGCACGGCAUUGCAGCAGCAGUUGCACACUUGAUUGACACCAGUUGUGACUUGUGCAGGCAAAGCAAGCAGGCCUUUGUUUUCUUCUUUCUUUUUGUUUCUUGGAGUGGCACACCGAUGCAACGAAGCGAGGAAGGAAAUCCACAAAUGAAUUUGGAGAUCUCCACACUGACUGAGACUAGAAAUCACACAGGCAAGGACAAUACAGUUCCCCUGAUUACUUCAAGGCAAGAGAUUUUUUUUCCCUCUUGCUGCUGGUGGAGUUAUGGUGCACAGCAGGGGAUGGGAUGGUGCAUGGAUGACAAGGAUGAUGAGAGAAGCAGACACCUAACCUAAUGAGCGGCUAAAGCUCCCUAUGCCAACCGAACUGAGCAAGAAGCAAAGAGCACAGCACAGCAUAGAGUUAGGAUUUGCACUGAAAUCAAGCAGGUCUGAAUUUUGCUGAGCACAAGUAAUAUUUGCUCUUGCUCCAUCAAUUCGGACGAACCCUAGAAAUCAAAGGGAUAAAAAGAAAAAGAAAAAAGGCAAGCAAUUUGGGAAGCAACGUGAGUGGCGACUGACUUGAGUGGGAGUGACACGCAGCUAGAGCACCAGCAGCCAGACGAAGAAGAAGAAGAAGACGGGAUGGAAUCAAACCCUAAGCCCUAAAUUAAACCCUAGUGAGUGGACUUAGCGGGCGCUUUCCUCCUCGGCACGACCCGUGGGCGCCGGCCCGGCGCCGCCUGGGCCGCCGGAGAAGGAGGCGAGAAGGUUGAGGUUUCCCUGUGCCAUGGGUAGGUAGUUGCCGACCCUGGCAGCCGACGCCUCCCCC
rnacentral:lncRNA from 1 species